UACAGAGGUCUCAAGCGUUGUUCGGAUUCAUUGGGCGUAAAGGGUGCGUAGGCGGCGCGGUAAGUCGGGUGUGAAAUCUUGGAGCUUAACUCCGAAACUGCAUUCGAUACUGCCGUGCUUGAGGACUGGAGAGGAGACUGGAAUUUACGGUGUAGCGGUGAAAUGCGUAGAUAUCGUAAGGAAGACCAGUGGCGAAGGCGGGUCUCUGGACAGUGCCUGACGCUGAGGCACGAAGGCCAGGGGAGCAAACGGG
rnacentral:rRNA from 1 species